rnacentral:rRNA from 1 species
UAAGGAUUAUGUUUAAAAUUAAAAUAUUUGGCGGCUAUUUAUAUUAAAGGGAUUUGCUUAUUAAUCGAUUUACCUCGUUUGUUAUUAUUUAGGUUUUUUUUGUAUACCGUCAUUUAGAUAAUUUUUAUAUAAUUAAUUAUGAGAAUAAUUUCUAUAAAUUAGAUCAAGGUGCAGAUAUAGUUAAUGUUAAGUUAAUGACAAUAAUAUAUUAUUAUACAGGUUUAU